UCCUGGUUUCCCAGGCAGUCCCGUCAGAGUGCUCCGCUUACGCGGAUCGCAACUGACAGCAGGGGUUGCGCUCGUUAAAGGACUUAACCCAACAUCUCACGACACGAGCUGACGACAGCCAUGCAGCACCUGUGCACAUGUCUAAACCGAAGCUUAGAAGAUCGCGUUUCUGCGACUGUCAUGUACAUGUCAAGCCUAGGUAAGGUUCCUCGCGUAGUAUCGAAUUAAACCACAUGUUCCACCGCUUGUGCGGACCCCCGUCAAUUUCUUUGAGUUUUAGUCUUGCGACCGUAAUCCCCAGGCGGAUCACUUAACGCGUUAGCUACGACACUAAUCUCGCAAAGCAAGACUAACGUCUAGUGAUCAUCGUUUACGGCGUGGACUAC
rnacentral:misc_RNA from 1 species